UACGUAGGUGGCAAGCGUUGUCCGGAUUUACUGGGCGUAAAGAGCGCGCAGGCGGUCGGAUAAGUCGAAUGUGAAAGCCCCGGCUCAACUGGGGAGGGUCAUUCGAUACUGUUCGACUCGAAGGCAGGAGAGGGAAGUGGAAUUCCCGGUGUAGUGGUGAAAUGCGUAGAUAUCGGGAGGAACACCAGUGGCGAAGGCGACUUCCUGGCCUGUUCUUGACGCUGAGGCGCGAAAGCUAGGGGAGCAAACGGGGAUUAAGAAACCCC
rnacentral:rRNA from 1 species